rnacentral:rRNA from 1 species
CAGCAGCCGCGGGAAUACGUAGGUGGCAAGCGUUGUCCGGAAUUAUUGGGCGUAAAGGGCUCGCAGGCGGUUUCUUAAGUCUGAUGUGAAAGCCCCCGGCUCAACCGGGGAGGGUCAUUGGAAACUGGUAAACUUGAGUGCAGAAGAGGAGAGUGGAAUUCCACGUGUAGCGGUGAAAUGCGUAGAGAUGUGGAGGAACACCAGUGGCGAAGGCGACUCUCUGGUCUGUAACUGACGCUGAGGAGCGAAAGCGUGGGGAGCGAACAGGAUUAGAUACCCCGGUAGUCCCUGUCUCUUAUAC